rnacentral:rRNA from 1 species
UACAGAGGUCUCAAGCGUUGUUCGGAAUUACUGGGCGUAAAGGGCGCGUAGGCGGUUUGCUAAGUUGAAUGUGAAAACUCUGGGCUUAACCCAGAGCCUGCAUUCAAUACUGGCAGGCUAGAGUUCUGGAGGGGAUAGCGGAAUUCCUGGUGUAGCGGUGAAAUGCGUAGAUAUCAGGAGGAACACCGGUGGCGAAGGCGGCUAUCUGGACAGAGUCUGACGCUGAGGCGCGAAAGCUAGGGGAGCAAACAGG